CGGAGGGUGCAAGCGUUAUCCGGAUUCACUGGGUUUAAAGGGAGCGCAGGCGGACUGGUAAGUCAGUGGUGAAAUACCUGAGCUUGACUCGGGAACUGCCAUUGAUACUAUCAGUCUUGAAUGUUGUUGAGGUUUGCGGAAUGGGUCAUGUAGCGGUGAAAUGCAUAGAUAUGACCCGGAACACCUAUUGCGAAGGCAGCAGGCUAAACAAAUAUUGACGCUGAGGCUCGAAAGCGUGGGGAUCAAACAGGAUUAGAUACCCUGGUAGUCCACGCCCUAAACGAUGAUUACUCGACAUACGCGAUACACUGUGUGUGUCUGAGCGAAAGCAUUAAGUAAUCCACCUGGGAAGUACGACCGCAAGGUUG
rnacentral:rRNA from 1 species